UUAUCAUCCCGGCUCGUCGAUGAGAGAAUACUAGCAUAUCAAUAAGCGGAGGAAAAGAAACCCAACAGGGAUUGCUUUAGUAACUGCGAGUGAAGCGGCAAAAGCUCAAAUUUGAAAUCUGAUGUCUUUGACGUUCGAGUUGUAAUUUGGAGGGAUAUCUUCGGAGCCGGGGCCGUUCUAAGUUCUUUGGAACCAGACAUCAUAGAGGGUGAGAAUCCCGUGCCUGGAUGGCUGUCCUGCUCCAUGUGAAGUGUCUCCGACGAGUCGAGUUGUUUGGGAAUGCAGCUCAAAAUGGGUGGUAAAUUUCAUCUAAAGCUAAAUAUUGGCGAGAGACCGAUAGCGCACAAGUAGAGUGAUCGAAAGAUGAAAAGCACUUUGAAAAGAGAGUUAAACAGUACGUGAAAUUGUUGAAAGGGAAGCGCUUGAGACUAGAUUCAGCUGACGGUGAUCAGCCGUGCUUUUGUUCGGUGCACUUGCCGUUGGUUGAGCCAGCAUCGGUUUUGAUGGUGGGAUAAAGAUUUGAGGAAUGUGGCUCCACACUUUUGUGGAGUGUUAUAGCCUCGAGUGCAAUGCCACCGGUUGGGACCGAGGACCGCGCUUCUGCUAGGAUGCUGGCUAAAAGGUCUUAAGCGGCCCGUCUUGAAACACGGACCAAGGAGUCUAACAUCUAUGCGAGUGUUCGGGUGAAAAACCCUUGCGCGUAAUGAAAGUGAACGGAGGUGGGAACCCCUUUGGGGUGCACCAUCGACCGAUCCCGAAGUUUACGGAAGGAUUUGAGUAGGAGCAUAGCUGUUGGGACCCGAAAGAUGGUGAACUAUGCCUGAAUAGGGUGAAGCCAGAGGAAACUCUGGUGGAGGCUCGCAGCGGUUCUGACGUGCAAAUCGAUCGUCAAAUUUGGGUAUAGGGGCGAAAGACUAAUCGAACCAUCUAGUAGCUGGUUCUGCGAUAUUUCUCUCUCUCUCUCCACGAGAGAAACGGCAACCCAGGCGUCUAUCUCUAGAAAUGGGUGUUCUCGAUAUAGAAUCCUGGUGCCCCCCUUAUUUAUCAACCAC
rnacentral:rRNA from 1 species